UGUGUUCUGGGGGUUUGUUUUCUAG
rnacentral:piRNA from 1 species